rnacentral:rRNA from 1 species
UUGCCUUAGUAACGGCGAGUGAAGCGGCAACAGCUCAAAUUUGAAAUCUGGCCCUUGGGUCCGAAUUGUAAUUUGUAGAGGAUGCUUUUGGUGAGGUGCCUUCCGAGUUCCCUGGAACGGGACGCCAUAGAGGGUGACAGCCCCGUCCGGUCGUGCCACCGAGCCUCUGUAAAGCUCCUUCGACGAGUCGAGUAGUUUGGGAAUGCUGCUCUAAAUGGGAGGUGUAUGUCUUCUAAAGCUAAAUACCGGCCAGAGACCGAUAGCGCACAAGUAGAGUGAUCGAAAGAUGAAAAGCACUUUGAAAAGAGGGUUAAAUAGUACGUGAAAUUGUUGAAAGGGAAGCGUUUAUGACCAGACGUGGGCCUGGCGGAUCAUCCGGCGUUCUCGCCGGUGCACUCCGCCGGCUCAGGCCAGCAUCAGUUUGGCUUGGGGGAUAAAGGCGGCGGGAAUGUGGCUCCUCCGGGAGUGUUAUAGCCCAUCGUGUAAUACCCUGAGCUGGACUGAGGUACGCGCUUCUGCAAGGAUGCUG